CAAUAGCGUAUAUUUAAGUUGUUGCAGUUAAAAGCUCGUAGUUGGAUUUCGGUUAAGAGCGACCGGUCCGCCGUUUGGUGUGCACUGGUUGGUUUUAACUUCCUGUAGAGGACGUGCUCUGGGCUUAACGGUCUGGACUCGGAGUCUACGUGGUUACUUUGAAAAAUUAGAGUGUUCAAAGCGGGCUUACGCUUGAAUAUUUCAGCAUGGAAUAACACUAUAGGACUCCUGUCCUAUUUCGUUGGUCUCGGGACGGGAGUAAUUAUUAAGAGGAACAGUUGGGGCGAUUCGUAUUUCUAUUGUCAGAGGUGAAAUUACUUGGAUUUAUUGAAAGAACGAACUUCUGCGAAAGCAUUUGUCCAAGGAUGUUUUCUAUUAAUUCAAGAACGAAAGUUAGGGGGCGUCGAAGAUGAUUAGAUACCAU
rnacentral:rRNA from 1 species